CAGAGUUGCAAAACUCCCACAGACCAUCGCGAAUCUUACCCGUACGGUUGCCUCGGCGCUGGCGGUCCGGAAGGCCCUCGGGGCCCCCCCCGGAUCCUCGGGUCUCCUGCUCGCGGGAGGCUGCCCGCCGGAGCGCCGAAACCAAACUCUUGAUAUGUUAUGUCUCUCUGAGUACACUUUUAAAUAAGUCA
rnacentral:misc_RNA from 1 species